rnacentral:misc_RNA from 1 species
AAGUCGUAACAAGGUUUCCGUAGGUGAACCUGCGGAAGGAUCAUUAUUGAAUGAUUUUUGAGUAGAUUGGUUUCGGCCAAUUUAUUCUUUCCUGUGAACUGAAUUUAUUUUUCUUGUUUUCUUUUUUUUUUAAAAAUCCGAAAGGACGAUAAAAAUCUUAAAGACAACUUUCAGCAAUGGAUCUCUUGGCUCUU